rnacentral:piRNA from 1 species
CAAGGAAGGAAACAGAACGAUGGGAA